GAGGAGAGAAGCAACUGGAAAUAGGCAGCCAAUAAAAAGGAGCCGCACUUAUCUGAAGCCUCAAGGGGAAGGAUGCUCCUGCUGUACCACAAGGACAAAGAGAGAAUCGGGGACAGAGACAGCAGCAAUUGAAGAAAUGUCCACACCCUUUCUAAAGAUGGUCUGAGCCUUGGAUGCCCAGAAGUUCUGGAGAACACACGCAAGUCAGAAGGCAGAGAAGUAAAAAUGGAGAUGUUUAUUAAGUCCCGCGGAGAGGCGAAGGACACAAGAGAAGAAAGGGAACCACAGCCCUGGUAUCACCUCAGCUGGCCCUCAUAACGUGAACACUGAUAACACCAUGGAUACUGUAAAGCUACAGGAUUAGGGCCUGUAAGACACCAAAUGAAGUGUUGUUUAAAAACAAACAAACAAACAAACAAAAACC
rnacentral:lncRNA from 1 species